rnacentral:rRNA from 1 species
GACGAACGCUGGCGGCGUGCUUAACACAUGCAAGUCGAGCGGUAAGGCCCUUUCGGGGGUACGACGAGCGGCGAACGGGUGAGUAACACGUGGGUGACCUGCCCUCAGCUCUGGGAUAAGCCUGGGAAACUGGGUCUAAUACCGGAUAUGACUCCAUGACGCAUGUUGUGGGGUGGAAAGCCUUGUGCGGCUGAGGAUGGGCCCGCGGCCUAUCAGCUUGUUGGUGGGGUGAGGCCUACCAAGGCGACGACGGGUAGCCGGCCUGAGAGGGCGACCGGCCACACUGGGACUGAGACACGGCCCAGACUCCUACGGGAGGCAGCAGUGGGGAAUCUUGCGCAAUGGGCGAAAGCCUGACGCAGCGACGCCGCGUGAGGGAUGACGGCCUGG